AGUGAACGCUGGCGGUAGGCCUAACACAUGCAAGUCGAACGGCAGCACAGUAAGAGCUUGCUCUUACGGGUGGCGAGUGGCGGACGGGUGAGGAAUACAUCGGAAUCUACUUUUUCGUGGGGGAUAACGUAGGGAAACUUACGCUAAUACCGCAUACGACCUACGGGUGAAAGCAGGGGAUCUUCGGACCUUGCGCGAUUGACUGAGCCGAUGUCGGAUUAGCUAGUUGGCGGGGUAAAGGCCCACCAAGGCGACGAUCCGUAGCUGGUCUGAGAGGAUGAUCAGCCAAAGGGGAACAGAGACACGGACCAGACCCCUACGGGAGGCCGCAGUGGGGAAUAUGGGAAAAAGGCGGAAAGUUGGAACACGCUAUGCCGGGGGAGGAAAAAAGGCCUUCGGUUUGAAAAGCCCUUUGUUGGGGAAAGAAAAGCAGGCAGUUAAUACCCCACUGUUAGGAGGGAACCAAAAGAACAAGCACCCGCUAACUUCGG
rnacentral:rRNA from 1 species